GGCCGCGGUAAUACGGAGGGAGCUAGCGUUGUUCGGAAAUACUGGGCGUAAAGCGCACGUAGGCGGCACUGCAAGUCAGGGGUGAAAUCCCGAGGCUCAACCUCGGAACUGCCUUUGAUACUGGGGAUCUCGAGUCCGGGAGAGGUGAGUGGAACUGCGAGUGUAGAGGUGAAAUUCGUAGAUAUUCGCAAGAACACCAGUGGCGAAGGCGGCUCACUGGCCCGGUACUGACGCUGAGGUGCGAAAGCGUGGGGAGCAAACA
rnacentral:rRNA from 1 species